GGACCCGCACAAGCGGUGGAUGAUGUGGUUUAAUUCGAUGCAACGCGAAAAACCUUACCUACCCUUGACAUGCCUGGAAUCUUGCAGAGAUGUGAGAGUGCUCGAAAGAGAGCCAGGACACAGGUGCUGCAUGGCCGUCGUCAGCUCGUGUCGUGAGAUGUUGGGUUAAGUCCCGCAACGAGCGCAACCCUUGUCAUUAGUUGCUACGAAAGGGCACUCUAAUGAGACUGCCGGUGACAAACCGGAGGAAGGUGGGGAUGACGUCAGGUCCUCAUGGCCCUUAUGGGUAGGGCUACACACGUCAUACAAUGGCCGGUACAGAGGGCUGCCAACCCGCGAGGGGGAGCCAAUCCCAGAAAACCGGUCGUAGUCCGGAUCGCAGUCUGCAACUCGACUGCGUGAAGUCGGAAUCGCUAGUAAUCGCGGAUCAGCUUGCCGCGGUGAAUACGUUCCCGGGUCUU
rnacentral:rRNA from 1 species